rnacentral:rRNA from 1 species
AUGGCACGGGGGCGACCCAAGGGCAGCUCACCGGCGCCAUCGCCGUUGGCCGGAAGUUCAAUUGUUGCUGCCUCUUCCAUCCCGGCGCCUAGGCGAGUCCCAACUGUCCAGACCUCAUUCACCUCGAUUACGUUGCAGUCGCUGGCGGGUGAAUGGAACCCCGAGGUUAGAGACGUGUUUGGGGAAGUAGGUUUGGGAGAGUUGUGUAAGAUUAGGGUUCUAGGAAACACAAGCCGAAUCUUUUCCAUGUCUUUGAUCUCCAAGAUAGACCCAGAUACUAUGAAGAUGGACAUGGGUGAUGGAACAUUUGUAGAUAUCAAUGCCAGGGCUGUUGCUAGAGCAAUUGGUCUUCCUAGCGGUGGUAGGAAAAUAGACAUUCAGGUGGGGCGUUGCCUUGCAGACCGCGAGCGCCUUCUUGGUAAGGUGCACGCCUUACUAGGCACUGGCAUGCCGAGGUCAAACAAUAUUCCAGUUCAUCGUGUUAAAAAGAUAGUUCAGGGAGCUAACAAGGUAGCCAUUGAGGGUGAAGAGAGCAAAACCAUGAAGGCCGCCGUCGCGCUAGUAGCCAGCUCCACUUUUCUUGUGCCGAGGGGCGCUUCGGAGUCUUGGAGCCUAGUGGAAGAUCCCGGUGGGCGCAGCGUUCGCGAGGCUUCUUCGUUUUCGUUGAUCCGCCGUUGUCGGCAUUUGUUUCUUUUGCUCUUUCUCUGUCGUUUCUUUUGGGCGUGA